rnacentral:rRNA from 1 species
GACAGAGGAUGCAAGCGUUAUCCGGAAUGAUUGGGCGUAAAGCGUCUGUAGGUGGCUUUUUAAGUCCGCCGUCAAAUCCCAGGGCUCAACCCUGGACAGGCGGUGGAAACUACCAAGCUGGAGUACGGUAGGGGCAGAGGGAAUUUCCGGUGUAGCGGUGAAAUGCGUAGAUAUCGGAAAGAACAUCAGUGGCGAAGGCGACUUCCUGGACCAAUACUGACACUCAAGUGCGAAAGCGUGGGGAGCAAACAGG